rfam:Nelumbo nucifera unplaced genomic scaffold scaffold00043, whole genome shotgun sequence
GUGGAUGCGAUGAUUAUAAGUAAUUCCUCGUUCUGAAUGCCAUUGCCAUGGCAUGACAGACUCAUUUUACACCCAUAGAAUAUGAGCACC